AGAGACCCAAGUUGAUAAAAUACGGCGUAAAGCGUGGUUAAAAGCCCCCACUAAACUAAGACUAAACCUUUCCAAAGCUGUUAUACGCACCCGGAAAUAUGAAACUCAACUACGAAAGUGGCCUUAAUUUCCCCUUGACCCCACGAAAGCUGCGAAACAAACUGGGAUUAGAUACCCCACUAUGCGCAGCCAUAAACUUUGAUAGAAAACUACAAAUUCUAUCCGCCCGGGAACUACGAGCAUAA
rnacentral:rRNA from 1 species